rnacentral:misc_RNA from 1 species
AUAUCCCACCCAUUUUUCUGACAUUACCGGAGAGUAUCGCAUAACCGUUAAUUUGCUCCAUUGGAGUGCAGAUAAACAGAGGUCACUGAACGGGAUAUGUGUACAAGGUGGUAUGCGCCGGCUUUUCGAUGGCCGGAACUCGGAUUUUCACUGCCGACAUCAAUCUUUCGGUGGCCGGAGUUUGAUUUUUCGUAUUUCACAACGGGGUGGAGCCUACAGAGCUUCCGGUUGUUCGAUUUCUCCAUCGAUGAUGUGGUAUGGACUUUUGUUACGGUGUUGGAAUCCGUGGCUUUAGUUGCCAUGCUUUGCUACUUCUUUGUGUUCUGUGGUUGUACUCUCUGAUUGAAUCACCUUCUAUCUUUCGAUCAAUUCUUUUGUGAAUAUAUGUAUAGACCUUUAGCUGCUUAAUUUACCCGGACCUACAAUCCUCUGCUUCACAUGACUGGAGAGAUAAUUAGCUCUUUUUGAAUAAGAGAAGCUUAUAGAUUUUAUAUACUAUGAUAAAUUUUCAUGUUGUGAUGCUAAUUGCUUCGAUUAUGCUUUUUCUCCUUUUUUUUUUUUAAA